AGAAGACUGUUGUAGGCAUCGGGCAUGGGACCCGAAGCCCCUCGAGGGAUAAUACAGGCUCUCCCAUCCAGCUCCUACUCCGACACGUCCUCGUCGUGCAGAGUGGUAAACAUGUGCCACCAUAUAUCCUAGCUUGGGUACACGGGUUGGAUCUAGAACCCUUCGGUCAGGGGAGCGUAGGUCCAGUCACCCAGUC
rnacentral:ribozyme from 1 species